UGAAAACGAAGGAGUGCAUUUGAAAGCUACUUCCUUGGAAGAAGAAUGAUGAACAACUUUAUAUGCAGAGGGAAAGAAAGCAGCAGAUGGAGAGGCUGAGGGGAAAAGAAGAGGCAAACAGAUGUACAAUAUUAAGGACGCAAAAGAAAAUGGGAUUCAAAGUAUGGAUCUGUGACAGCAAUUUCUUCUACCAACUUUUGAAAGCACAUGGAAAAGAUAAAUAUAUAGAGAUAUUUUUAAGAAAAUGAUUGGGAAGUCGAAAAUUUUCCUUUCUGGUGGCUUCUCUUUUCUCUGAAAAGUCAAGGCAACUAUUACGUGAAUGAAAA
rnacentral:lncRNA from 10 species